GUGCGCGGCCCGGCAGUGCUGCAACCGCUACAGCAGCCGCAGGAAGCAGCUCACCUUCCACCGGUUUCCGUUCAGCCGCCCGGAGCUGCUGAAGGAAUGGGUGCUGAACAUCGGCCGGGGCAACUUCAAGCCCAAGCAGCACACGGUCAUCUGCUCCGAGCACUUCCGGCCAGAGUGCUUCAGCGCCUUUGGAAACCGCAAGAACCUAAAGCACAAUGCCGUGCCCACGGUGUUCGCCUUUCAGGACCCCACACAGCAGGUGAGGGAGAACACAGACCCUGCCAGUGAGAGAGGAAAUGCCAGCUCUUCUCAGAAAGAAAAGGUCCUCCCUGAGGCGGGGGCCGGAGAGGACAGUCCUGGGAGAAACAUGGACACUGCACUUGAAGAGCUUCAGUUGCCCCCAAAUGCCGAAGGCCACGUAAAACAGGUAAGACUGAGUGCAAAGGUGGUCUGUGGUUGGACACAAGAUGACUUGCUCCAAACAAAAUGGAAACCAGUGAGCACCCACCAUGAGACCUGUGUGGCCGAGGCAGGGUGUGCAGCCUGGGUUUCAGAGCUCCCCAGUCAAAUUCUCCACCAUGGUGUGGGCACAUCUGGAUUUUGGGGGAGCAGCCCGGAGUGUCUAGCUGCCCUGGGGUUGUGCUGUGUGCGUGUCUGGUGGCCUGCUCACCAUGGCCCGCCUUCCUGCUGGUGAUGCAGCUCUAGGCUCUCACUCCCCUGUCCUCAGGUCUCGCCACGGAGGCCGCAAGCAACAGAGGCUGUUGGCCGGCCGACUGGCCCUGCAGGCCUGAGAAGGACCCCCAACAAGCAGCCAUCUGAUCACAGCUAUGCCCUUUUGGACUUAGAUUCCCUGAAGAAAAAACUCUUCCUCACUCUGAAGGAAAAUGAAAAGCUCCGGAAGCGCUUGCAGGCCCAGAGGCUGGUGAUGCGAAGGAUGUCCAGCCGCCUCCGUGCUUGCAAAGGGCACCAGGGACUCCAGGCCA
rnacentral:lncRNA from 1 species